rnacentral:rRNA from 1 species
UAGGGAAUCUUCCGCAAUGGACGCAAGUCUGACGGAGCAACGCCGCGUGAGUGAAGAAGGAUUUCGGUUCGUAAAACUCUGUUGUUAGAGAAGAACAGCGCAUAGAGUAACUGUUAUGCGUGUGACGGUAUCUAACCAGAAAGCCACGGCUAACUACGUGCCAGCAGCCGCGGUAAUACGUAGGUGGCAAGCGUUGUUCGGAUUUAUUGGGCGUAAAGCGAGCGCAGGCGGUCAAGUAAGUCUGAUGUGAAAGCCCCCGGCUCAACCAGGGAGGGUCAUUGGAAACUGGUUGACUUGAGUGCAGAAGAGGAGAGAGGAAUUCCAUAUGUAGCGAUGAAAUGCGUAGAUAUAUGGAGGAACACCAGUAGCGAAGGCGACUCUCUGGUCUGUAACUGACGCGGAGGCUCGAAAGCGUGGGUAGCAAACAGG